AAAAAAAAGAAAAAAAGAAAAAAAAUAAAACACCAUAUUGGGUUGUUUUGACUAUCAAACACAGGAAUAGCGAACCACAACAAGUACUGUAUUGGGGUGCACACUCACUUUCGAUAGAGUCCGUACAAUAUCCAUCUCUGGCCAUAUCAGACCAUAGUAGAUGUUCGUCCUUGAUUGUCCUGAUCUUUAUGUGGUGGCGAUAUCAGACUCAUCCCCAUCUUAACUCACAAAUUUCCAAUCGUCUAUGGAAAUUGAUACGCGAGCUCUUCUGAUCAUUUCUCUCCUCCAAAAAGGUCAAAUGAGCCUAGUCCAGGUCUGUAAAUGACUGCAACAAAAUUAAUUUCUAUCAUUUUCUCCUCCGUCUCUCUCUCUUCCUCCAAAUCAAGCUCUUCAAACACACACACAUUUCUAUAACACGCUUCUGAUCCACGAUUUGAUUGGAAAUGAAGGAGCAAUACGGUCAGGUUAUUCAAUUCCAAGCUGCAGACUGUGAAGAUAUCAAUGCUUGUCAGAAAUCUAUAAAUCUGGGAAAUGCAAAAGAUGUUUCAGAGUGCUAGGAGUGCUUUUUUGAAUCCUGGUCGUCUGAUAUUGAGCUAUAUUACCGAGUAUAAGUGACUUGUGGAGAGCAGUAUCGAGUAUGGGCACUGGAAUUGGCAAUUCGUGAAAAGCGGUUCCAAAGCAAUAGUUGUUGCAGCAAGAGCUGAAUAUCCAAGGGUGCAUACCCAGACGAAAACUAAGUUCCCACUGAUGAUCCGUGUAACAAGCUAUACCAAGUAAGAAGUGUAGAACAAUUAGCUCACAAGGACCACCAUUGUAUUACCAUUGAUCAACAAAUGCUGCUUCCCAUAUCAGGGUAAAAAAGAAAACAUAGCUGCCGAAGCUGGGAUCCUAAUGAUAGAUGCAAAUUGUCCUACGAGAACUUCCAGGUGAGGAGUAGAGAGUUCUCCAUGCUUAACGGGGAGAAAAACAAGAAAGAAAAUAGUAGUUUCAUAUUGAAUUUUAUUGGAUGGAAUUUGCAACUUAAAGGCACAUCAUUCCAUGAUUAGCGUAAGGUUAGAGUUUCUUGUAUCACGAGUGAGGGUAUCAGCCACUGAUUGUAUCUGUUUCUCACAGGUGUGGAAUACUUUCAUAUUGUUCAGGCAAUCAGGCUAUGACCCUACUUUAGAGUAGACAGGAGGUUAACAGAGGGAAUAACACUCGUUCUUGGAUGGAGCGUAGGCUGCACUCAUGUAUACAUACACGUGCGCGCACACAUAUAGGUACAUAAAUGAAAUACAUGCAACUGGCUGAGCUUGUUGUGUGUGGAAAUUUUCCUAUCAGAGUGUGUCGAGCGCUUCAGAACUUGAAUUAGCACGCAAACCAAACCAUAGUAUGAAGGUUUUGGUUGUACAUACGUGUGCACAAUUAAAAUAUUUGUAAUCAGAAGACCAAGCUGAUGGACUAAACCACAGCUAGCAAGAGAAAUUAUCCUAUUGCUCCAUUUUAGCAAGUUUUCAUAGAAGAGAUUUGCAGAAGCUCUUGUCCUCUCCA